rnacentral:rRNA from 1 species
UACGAAGGGGGCUAGCGUUGUUCGGAAUUACUGGGCGUAAAGCGCGCGUAGGCGGUAAUCCAUGUCAGAGGUGAAAUCCCAGGGCUCAACCCUGGAACUGCCUUUGAAACGGGAUUGCUAGAGUCCGAGAGAGGAUAGCGGAAUUCCUAGUGUAGAGGUGAAAUUCGUAGAUAUUAGGAAGAACACCGGUGGCGAAGGCGGCUAUCUGGCUCGGUACUGACGCUCAGGCGCGAAAGCGUGGGGAUCAAACAGG